UACCUGCAGCUCGAGUGGUAACCGCUAUUAUUGGGCCUAAAGCGUCCGUAGCCGGUUUGGUAAAUAUCUGGGUAAAUCGUGAGGCUUAACUUCACGAAUUUCGGAUAGACUGCCAGACUUGGGAUCGGGGGAGGUCAGAGGUACUCCAGGGGUAGCGGUGAAAUGUUGUAAUCCUUGGAGGACCACCGGUAGCGAAGGCGUCUGACUAGAACGAGCCCGACGGUGAGGGACGAAGCCCUGGGGCGCAAACCGGAUUAGAUACCCGGGUAGUCCAGGGUGUAAACAAUGUGGGCUUUGUAUUGGAGGUCCCACGUGGGCGUCCAGUGCAGAAGAAAAGUUGUUAAGCCCACCGCCUGGGAAGUACGGUCGCAAGGCUGAAACUUAAAGGAAUUGGCGGGGAGCACAGCAACGGGAGGAGCGUGCGGUUU
rnacentral:rRNA from 1 species